GCUGUCCUAGAGAAAAAAAGCUGAUUCCUAACGUUUUCUGGGCGAGGCAGACCGCCUGAGGCCUCUGAUGCUGAGGCAAACACGGAAGCCGAGCCCGGCGCCUCCUGCUGCGCGCCGCCCUUGCGGCCGCCAUUUUGGGUGGUGCCUCAGGGCCGAGGCUCGGGCUCGGCAGGUGGCGCAGCGCCAUUUUCGCGUUACUGCAGCCUCCCUCCACCUGUCCCCGUCGUCGCCUCCCCUCAGGUGGACGGCAGGCAGGGCUCGGGGCUGGAGGCGGUGUAGGGGACAGCAGUGAGGAGGCAAGGCGCUUGUCGGGCCCCCAUGCUUUUCGUGCAGUCGCGUGGAAGGUUCUGAAAUCUGUUCCUGGAGUUCCUGAGGGGAGCCGCUGCAGUGAGGAAGUUAAGGAGGCUUGCUCACUGUAAUGCUCUGAGAAGUGUUAAGUGUUACCUGGAUGAGAGUUUGCAGGUGAAGACAUUGCCAGAGCUUAGAAGAGAGAAUUGCUUGCAUUUGGAAAUGAUGGAGCCGUCGAUCCACACUAGAGCCUGCUUGCUAGGGUAAUGAAUGCAAGAACCGGCCUUGUACCUUCUGAGCUUGAGAAAAAGCUUAGAUGUUCUUCAAAAAUUGCUGUAAUAAUGUGGGAGCCUUUUAAGACUUAAGUCAGUUGAUGGCAAUGUGAUUUAAGUGGAUCAGAAAUGCAGCUGAGAUCUUAAGGGUUGUCUCUUGAGUUCUAGUUGCCUACGUGUCAUGUGAGUUGCAAGUGACUACGGUGUUGGCUGAAAGGAAAAAUGCCUACAGGUAGCAUAAAUAAAAGCAAUUAAGAAUGUGAAAUACAGCACAGAGGAGAAGUAGCAGUGAGGUGAACGUUUGAUAAGUGGAGGAGUGGUGUUAUGUGUGGAAGAAACUAAGAGAAUUCCUGUUAGAUCUGAGAGUGGGCCUGCUUUUGUGGAGUGCUGGUUCAGGUAGAGUCAUGGCUGAUGUCACAACCGACUUGCUUCAACCUCACAGGGCUUGAUGCUGAGGGCGUAGUCCCCCAGGACUUCACCUCUCGGAAAGGACUGAAUUUUCAGACUACAGUGCUUCAAGUCAGCGAGGAAGAACCUUCAUUGCGUGGCAUUCAGCGAUAGCAACAAAGCAACUCCCUUCUGCGGACGUGUUCGCGAGCUGUGUGCAGAGGUGGGCUGGCAGAAUGGAUAGCAGCUCAACUCUUGGUGCAGGUACUGUCUGUUUUGUUGUUUGUGUGGAGAGAGGUCAUGCACACACAGUCCUCUCUCCCCUUUUGCCCUGCUCCUAAGCCUCCUCUGACCAAACAGGUGCCUCAUCUUAAGACCUGCCAGGUGUGGCUGACUGGUAGUUGUGACCUCAGAGCUGAAGUGUAAGCAGCUGCUAACAAUUUCUUCACUGGGUUGGUUAGCAAAGCUUUGCUGUAAAUGUAACUGUGCACUUGCACGCGGCACAGGAGUUGUUCAUGGGCUAAAGGUAGGAUCGCAUUGCCCGCUGCUGUGCCAAUUACUGGAUAUUAAUGGCAGGAUAGCAUGCAUAUGCCUAAACUGGGAAGCAGAAGGUUAAUAGACGAACAGCACCAGAAGAUCCCAUUUAUCAGUUUCUAUUUAUCUCUCCUUGGGAGGUGGCAGGUUUACAGUAAAUACCUUCUGUCCUCCUAAUUUCCUAAUGAUGGGGAUAAUGAUGGAGAAUGGUGAAGUCAUUAACUGGGACAGCCUCUGUGCAUCACUCUGUCAACCACAUCUCUCCAAGACCUGCGAUGAAAAGUGAUGGGCCCCAGCUGUUCACCAGAUUCUCUUCCCCUCCCCCCUCUCCCCAUUCUCAACCCCAGUUGCAGGCUUUAGCAGUUGAGAAGGGAAAAAAUAAGAAAGAAAACCCACGAACAGAAAGACAAAGGGCCAGUCCCUUCCCAUGCUGGAGCCACUCUGCCCCGCGCUUUGUGUGUGUGUGGCACGGAGAACCAACCUGAUCCCAUUACAGAGCUCUGGGUGUGGCGCUAGCCUUGGGCAUAGUGGUGUCAUGCAGAUAAAGAGCGCAGAACCGAGGAGAGCAGUGGCUCACUCAAAGGAGCAGGAUGCAGAAGCAGGUUGUACUUUUAGGAAUGAGGCACUGCAUUUCCAUGGUGCUGUCUUCUGCUGAAGAACUUGUUAAAAGUCUGUAAAAACUUUCAGCAUUUCUCUGUAUCUGAAACAUUAUGCUGGAAUACUGAUGCAUUCCAGUGUCUACACAAUGGCGGGGCAAACAGUUAUCAGAGUUGCCAUAUAUUGGGGAUAGAGCCUGGCCACUGUAUUCUCUUUGUAGUUCUAUUUUAAAUCCAGUCUUUGAAGCUACAAUUUCAAGACAUAAAUAUGCCCCUGGAACAUGAGAUGAACUUCACAUAAAAAUUUACUUCCUUAAGUUUUUUCAUUGAAGAGCUUCACUUUUUUCCGUGUCAUGCCUUUGUAGCUGACUUUGAGUUUUUCAUUGUAUUUGUUUUAUAUGUGGACAAAGGCUGUGCCCUAAUCACUGAUUUCAGAGGGUAAAGAGUGGCUUACCAUUUUUAACGGGUGUGUAUUCAUCCAGGGAAUGUGUUGGUGAUUUAUUGCCAGCCCUGUUCAAAAUAUAGCAUUCUUCCUCGGUGAGGAGAGGAAGAAAGUCCCCACUGUGGAGACAACUGGGUUUUCUGUUACAGUGGAAGGGGAGAAUCUCACAUACACUCACUCGGUAUGCUCGUGGUUUUCUGGUAAAUUUGAGCAUGUGUGCAAUCAUCAGCAAAGCUCCUUGGUUCAACCUAUUUUCUAGUAAUGUGGUCGUUCUCCAUUGAGAUGUCUUUUUCUUAAUUAUUUUACUUAACUCAUGAGCUAGUGCAAUAGCUUUGUUACCGUAUAGCAAAACCACAGUCACUUGCAGUGGCCUUGAGUACAGUGUAAUAGAACAGAGCUGGCUAGGCCUUCUGCAGGUACUUGCCACCUUCUCCUCUUGUUUGUCAGCCAUUUGCAGUGGCUUCUGCAUGGAAAUCUUUUGAAAGGAGGGGCCUGUCUGCAGUGAGGUUUUCCUAUCGCAUCUGCCAUUUGUCAGGCUCAUAAAAGAACUCUUGAGC